CCGACGAUUUGGCCGAGUGGUUAUGGCGUGUGACUCAAGCGCAAGCUUGUCUCUGCAUUAGAGACAGUAUUCUCAUGGGCUUUGCCCGCGUGGGUUCGAAUCCCACAGUCGUCAA
rnacentral:tRNA from 1 species